AAGGUUGGACGCCUUUUAUGUUUGUCUUGUGGUUUUUCACAAAAUGGUUGUAUAUCUUACUUAACAUUAUUGCAUGUGCUUCGUUUAAUCAUAUACUCAUUUAAUGAGAUAUGUAGCAUUGAUGCAUUAGAUUGCUACUAGUAUUGAGAUUGCAAAAUGGCCUUCCAGUUUGGUACCGAAAAUUGUCCUACGUCAAGCUAUACAAGAACAACACUCGUUUCAUAAGACAUGAUUCUGUGGGUUACACUACACAUUGGAUAUUAUAGCUGUUGUGCUUUUCUUGUUCGAGGGGUUCAUUUACGUCGUCAUCUUACACUAUGUGACAAAUUCUUGUAGGUUAUAGCUGUAGGUGCUAUGUUACGGUUUAAUUAUUUGACUCAUACUUGUCGCAAUUAGAUAUCCAGAGGAUGCAUUAAAGACCUCUUAGUCUCAUACUGUUCUUUCAGGGUUAUGCAUUACUAUUCGACUCAUACUUGUCGCAAUUAGAUAUCCAGAGGAUGCAUUAAAGACCUCUUAAUCUCAUACUGUUCUUUCAGGGUUAUGCAUUACUAUGUGUGGGUUUCCCAUCUUCUGAUAUUGAAGUUGAAACACAA
rnacentral:lncRNA from 1 species